AUCAUUAAUGAAGCGAGGCGUUGCGUAAGUCCGCCGCGCUGCCCCCUCGCGGGGCGCGCGUCCGGCGGCGGCGUACCGUCCACCCGUGCUUACUGUACCAUUGUUGCUUUGGCGGGGCGCCCCCUGGGGCCAGCGGCUUCGGCGGCUGUGCCCCCGCCAGAGGAGACCCAAUUCUUGCCUUUCGUGCUGUCUGAGUACUAUAUAAUAGUUAAAACUUUCAACAACGGAUCUCUUGGUUCUGGCAUCGAUGAAGAACGCAGCGAAAUGCGAUAAGUAAUGUGAAUUGCAGAAUUCAGUGAAUCAUCGAAUCUUUGAACGCACAUUGCGCCCUUUGGUAUUCCGAAGGGCAUGCCUGUUCGAGCGUCAUUACAACCACUCAAGCUGUUGCUUGGUCUUGGGGCACCCGGCGUCGGGGCCCUUAAAAUCAGUGGCGGUGCCGGCGAGCUCUACGCGUAGUAAUACUCCUCGCGUCUGACCCUCGCCCGGCGCCCUGCCAGCGAACCCCCUUU
rnacentral:rRNA from 1 species